GUGAUUGAAUCGAGCGUGUCUUCAUUGACCGCUCACCCUUCUCACCAUCCACAUACACCUGUGCACUGUUUAGCCUGAGCCGGUUUUCCGGUCCAGGUUAUCAUUUCAUACAAACUCUAGUCUUAUGAAUGUAAACGUUUUAAUAACAUAAUA
rnacentral:misc_RNA from 1 species